rnacentral:misc_RNA from 1 species
GCAAACUUGGUCAUUUAGAGGAAGUAAAAGUCGUAACAAGGUUUCCGUAGGUGAACCUGCGGAAGGAUCAUUAUCGAAACGUGUUCCCACACACACACCGUGCACCCUCGGGCGGCCUCCGGGUCCGCCCGCGUUUUUCACAUCACGACGCAUGUCUCGAAUGUAAACCUGUUUUGUAAUAGAAACAACUUUCGACAACGGAUCUCUUGGCUCUCUAGAGGAAGUAAAAGUCGUAACAAGGUUUCCGUAGGUGAACCUGCGGAAGGAUCAUUAUCGAAACGUGUUCCCACACACACACCGUGCACCCUCGGGCGGCCUCCGGGUCCGCCCGCGUUUUUCACAUCACGACGCAUGUCUCGAAUGUAAACCUGUUUUGUAAUAGAAACAACUUUCGACAACGGAUCUCUUGGCUCUCGCAUCGAUGAAGAACGCAGC